rnacentral:tRNA from 5 species
GGGUGAUUAGCUCAGUUGGUAGAGCGCUUCGUUUACACCGAAGAUGUCGGCGGUUCGAGCCCGUCAUUACCCACCA